UACGGAGGGUGCGAGCGUUGUCCGGAAUCACUGGGCGUAAAGGGCGCGUAGGCGGCUGGGGAAGUCGGUGGUGAAAGCUCGUGGCUCAACUACGAGUCGGCCAACGAUACUCCUCGGCUCGAGCACUGUAGAGGCAGGUGGAAUUCCGGGUGUAGCGGUGGAAUGCGUAGAGAUCCGGAAGAACAUCGGUGGCGAAGGCGGCCUGCUGGGCGAGUAGCUGACGCUGAGGCGCGACAGCGUGGGGAGCAAACAGG
rnacentral:rRNA from 1 species